GAAGGGAAGGGGAAUAUCAAAAAGGAAAGACAAAGGGUAAAAGGCAAACCAAUGCAACAGCAAUACUUAUAAAACUAUAUGCUGUAAAACAACUGUAUAGCUUGGGGAGGGGUUUGGAGAUAGGGAAGGUGGGAGAUAAAUGAGGGAGGAGGUAACAAGUUUGAUAAGAAAUGUACUCACUGCCUUAUGUAUGAAACUGUACAUCAUUGUACAUCACUUUGACA